UCAGUCUUAUGAGGCAGAAAGUAAAGAAGGGUGCCUCAUGGCAUUGGACCUUGUUAGGAAUGAGUUUUAUGAUGUGCGCAACAAACUACAAACAAUGAUUCAGCUGGGGCAGCAGAUCACGGCCAUGGGUCCUCAGUAGUAGCAACUGAAGCAAAAGGAUCAUGGCCCCAUAUGAUCCCUAUCAUGAUGGGGUGUAUGUAUCGCUAAAGAUGUUCAAGUGGUGUCUGGGUUUGGAGGGCGUGCUCGUAACCCUGUGAAAGACACUUGUUGUCAUGUGUGUUAAUGUUUGUGUCUGUCAACUCUAUGUACCUUGUGUGUCAUGGAUUAUUUGGUCGGUUGUUUGUUGGUGACAUGAAUAUCUCUCUCUC